rnacentral:rRNA from 1 species
UACGGGGGGGGCAAGCGUUGUUCGGAAUUACUGGGCGUAAAGGGCUCGUAGGUGGCCAACUAAGUCAGACGUGAAAUCCCUCGGCUUAACCGGGGAACUGCGUCUGAUACUGGAUGGCUUGAGUUUGGGAGAGGGACGCGGAAUUCCAGGUGUAGCGGUGAAGUGCGUAGAUAUCUGGAGGAACACCGGUGGCGAAGGCGGCGUCCUGGACCAACACUGACACUGAUGAGCGAAAGCAUGGGGAGCGAACAGG